rnacentral:tRNA from 1 species
GCGGGAGUAACUCAGCUGGUAGAGUGUCUGCCUUCCAAGCAGAAUGUCGCGGGUUCGAGUCCCGUCUCCCGCUCCA